rnacentral:rRNA from 1 species
GACGAACGCUGGCGGCGUGCCUAGCACAUGCAAGUCGAGCGAGUGAAUCUCCUUCGGGAGUGAAGCUAGCGGCGGACGGGUGAGUAACACGUGGGCAACCUGCCUCAUAGAGGGGAAUAGCCUUUCGAAAGGAAGAUUAAUACCGCAUAAGAUUGUAGCUUCGCAUGAAGUAGCAAUUAAAGGAGCAAUCCGCUAUGAGAUGGGCCCGAGGCGCAUUAGCUAGUUGGUGAGGUAACGGCUCACCAAGGCGACGAUGCGUAGCCGACCUGAGAGGGUGAUCGGCCACAUUGGGACUGAGACACGGCCCAGACUCCUACGGGAGGCAGCAGUGGGGAAUAUUGCACAAUGGGGGAAACCCUGAUGCAGCAACGCCGCGUGAGUGAUGACGGCCUUCGGGUUGUAAAGCUCUGUCUUCAGGGACGAUAAUGACGGUACCUGAGGAGGAAGCCACGGCUAACUACGUGCCAGCAGCCGCGGUAAGAC